rnacentral:sRNA from 1 species
AUUUAGCAAAUCUAAAGGAUCGCAGCGGCAUCCUUUUGUGCAGCGAUAGCGGAACAAAAGAUAUAGCGGAGAGCGGGAACGUUG